rnacentral:misc_RNA from 1 species
GAUGAAGAACGUAGCGAAAUGCGAUAAGUAAUGUGAAUUGCAGAAUUCAGUGAAUCAUCGAAUCUUUGAACGCACCUUGCGCCCUUUGGCUAUUCCGAAGGGCAUGCCUGUUUGAGUAUCGUGAACACCUCAACUCUCAUGGUUUGCCAUGAUGAGCUUGGACUUGGGGGUUUUGCUGGCCUUCGGUCGGCUCCUCUCAAACGGAUCAGCUUUCCAGUGUUUGGUGGCGUCACGGGUGUGAUAACUAUCUACGCCUGUGGUUUUCUGCCAGAUAACCUUCAGCGAUGGAGGUUCGCUGGGGCUCAUAAAUGUCUCUCUUCAGUGGAGACAGCUUUUUGGACGUUUGAUCUCAAAUCAGGUAGGACUACCCGCUGAACUUAAGCAUAUCAAUAAGAGGAGGA